ensembl:snRNA U6 U6 spliceosomal RNA
GUGCCUGCUUCUGCAGCACAUGUGCUAAAAUUGGAAUGAUACAGAGAAGAUUAGGAUGGUCCCUGUGCAAGGAUAACAUGCAAAUUUGUGAAAUGUUUCAUAUUUAA